AGGAGUAUGAUGAUGUGUGGAGUAUCACUGAAGAUGUGACAAACCUGUUAGACUAUGAUGAUGUGGGGGAGGAGUCAAAUGAUGAGGGAGGGGCCGUAUGACUCAAUGGCCACACCUACUACCUCUGUGUAUUUCAUCAUUUU